rnacentral:rRNA from 1 species
AAGGGGAGUGAAAUAGAUCCUGAAACCGUGUGCCUACAAGUAGUUAGAGCCCGUUAAUGGGUGAUAGCGUGCCUUUUGUAGAAUGAACCGGCGAGUUACGAUUGCAUGCAAGGUUAAGGUGAGAAGCCGGAGCCGCAGCGAAAGCGAGUCUGAAUAGGGCGAGUGAGUAUGUAGUUGUAGACCCGAAACCAGGUGAUCUACCCAUGUCCAGGGUGAAGGUAAGGUAACACUUACUGGAGGCCCGAACCCACGCACGUUGAAAAGUGCGGGGAUGAGGUGUGGGUAGCGGAGAAAUUCCAAUCGAACCUGGAGAUAGCUGGUUCUCU